GUGGGGAAUUUUGGACAAUGGGCGAAAGCCUGAUCCAGCAAUGCCGCGUGUGUGAAGAAGGCCUUCGGGUUGUAAACCUCUUUUAGCAGGGAAGAAGCGAAAGUGACGGUACCUGCAGAAAAAGCACCGGCUAACUACGUGCCAGCAGCCGCGGUAAUACGUAGGGUGCAAGCGUUGUCCGGAAUUAUUGGGCGUAAAGAGCUCGUAGGCGGUUUGUCGCGUCUGCUGUGAAAACCCGAGGCUCAACCUCGGGCCUGCAGUGGGUACGGGCAGACUAGAGGGCGGUAGGGGAGAUUGGAAUUCCUGGUGUAGCGGUGGAAUGCGCAGAUAUCAGGAGGAACACCGAUGGCGAAGGCAGAUCUCUGGGCCGUAACUGACGCUGAGGAGCGAAAGCGUGGGGAGCGAACAGGAUUAGAUACCCCUGUAGUCC
rnacentral:rRNA from 1 species